GUUGCUUCAUAUGGUGAACGCCCUGUAAAUUUCGAUUGUGUUGGGGAUGUUCUAGUUUCCGGAGCGUAGAUUAAAAUUAAGAAUUACCAGCACUAAACAGCACCGUGUCUGCUUUUUGCUUUUGCACCGUGUUACCUGUCUCCUGGUACAAAU